AACGCGAAGAACCUUACCUGGUCUUGACAUAGUAAGAACUUUCCAGAGAUGGAUUGGUGCCUUCGGGAACUUACAUACAGGUGCUGCAUGGCUGUCGUCAGCUCGUGUCGUGAGAUGUUGGGUUAAGUCCCGCAACGAGCGCAACCCUUUUCCUUAUUUGCCAGCACUUCGGGUGGGAACUUUAAGGAUACUGCCAGUGACAAACUGGAGGAAGGCGGGGACGACGUCAAGUCAUCAUGGCCCUUACGACCAGGGCUACACACGUGCUACAAUGGUCGGUACAAAGGGUUGCUACCUAGCGAUAGGAUGCUAAUCUCAAAAAGCCGAUCGUAGUCCGGAUUGGAGUCUGCAACUCGACUCCAUGAAGUCGGAAUCGCUAGUAAUCGUGGAUCAGAAUGCCACGGUGAAUACGUUCCCGGGUCUUGUACACACCG
rnacentral:rRNA from 1 species